AGAAAAAAGAAAAUGUACUUGCUGAAGAUGGUUAAUGUCUUUUUUUUUUUUUUUCUUCAUGGCUUGCAGCUAUCAGACAAGCAGACAACAUAAACUGGUGAUGAUCAGAUUGGAUCAAAUUCAUGCCUCAAAUAAUACCAUUAUAUUCAACAGUUACUUGAGAGAUGAAUUUGCAACAUUCGUUGCAUUUUGUGAAACAAAGUCAGGACAAAUCAACAGUGUUUAUUAAUUUUUCUCUAUAAUUUAGUGAAGUUUAUCUAAAAAACUUCAUCAGCCAUGAAACAGAAGGCAAUCUCUGGAAUUCUACAAUAAUUUAAUCAUUUACGACUGAUAUCCAGGACGGAGAUGAAUGAAUAUUUAUUUAUUAAAAAUAGUGGUUUAAUUCUUAACUAUAACAUAUAACCCCAGUAUAUAUAUGUAUAUUUACUUAUAUAUAUUUUUGUGAAUUCAAUACAUAUUAUAUAUUAUAUGUCUAUAUUUAUAAUCUCUAUAUAUAAUAGUAUAUUUUAUAUAUAUAUAAUAUGUAUUUUAUUCACAAAAAUAAAUGAUUGGAAGUUGUAUCAAGAAAGAUAUCUGUAAUAUAGACACUCUCCUGAUUUCUUUCAGACUCUCUGCACAAUGUAUGGAACCUGCAUGGGAGGCUGGACUAAAACCUGUCAGCUCAGUGAAAAAAGUGUUUUCAGGAGCAAAGAAAUGUUUAUCAAAGUCUUUGCUCCAUACAUCAUCAUUUAGCAUCUCUAAGAACUUUCAAGGACUGCUUUUUAAUUGUUUGGCUUUGCUACAGGUUGUGAUAGAUAAAGUGAAGUUGUACAAUCCUGUGGAGAGAGACUGAUUGAAGGGAGCUUUGCGCCUACGCUGGGCAUAUUAGUCCAGAGGGACAUAAAGGUAUUCAUGGGAUAAGUCUGGUGUCCAUAACUUGGCCAGAAACAUCUAUUCAAGCCCAGAAAUGUCAGUAUAUUCCCAAAGGAAGUGGAGGCAUUGUGAAGGUGGUUUCUUUUCUCCUUAGCUACGCACAGUCCUGGUACUUGCUGGAGCUGGUUCCAAGGGACUUGUUCUGGCAGUUCCUCCUCUGUUAAGGGAGGAGGAGCGGGCAGGUGUGUGGCACAGGCCAGCUGCACUGAGAUUGUCCCGAGCAGUUACUGCAGCACACGAAGCACCUUCCUCUGGAGCACAAUAGGAAGUGUGACUGCUCUGGGAGUCUGCUGCCCUUGUCGUGCUGCUCAUCCCUUCUCAGGAAAGGCUGACUGGACCACAAACUGUCCUAAGUGACCCUUGUAUAUAGAGGCCCAAGAGAACACUGGAAUAUGCCAUAUUACAAAUGGCAAUGUUCACAAGCAAGGUAUAUUUUAAGCCCUUCCUACCUGACGUAUCCAAUGAUUACUGUUGUUGAAUUCAGGCAACCUCCCUACUGCCUGCACACUAAAAUACCUAUCUAGAAAUGCCAGUGACAUUAAGGGGAUGUGUCCUUGCAAAAGGACACACCAGCCUCUGCCACUCUGAAGACGGCCACCACCAGCUUCUGCAGGCCUUGUCGUGGGAUGUUGUGCCCUGAGAGGUGCCCAGGCUCUGUGGCCUGUGGGAAGGCCAUGAUCCGGUGGUGAAGUAGCGUAGGGGUUGGGGCGUGCAGGGGAUGGGGACAGUCACUCCGACACUAGGCCUGAGGUGAGAAUGGAGGCUGUGAGACCACGCAGCCCCAGCAGUGUGGAGUGGAUGUAACUGGCAUGUUGGGCCAUCCGAGCAACUGCCUCUGCUGAAGUGCCUUCAGCUCAGCCCUGCUCUCAUCCCUCUGCUUUGCAAGUGCCACUGUCCUGUGAAAAUGGCCCCGGGCACGUUGCUUGCCCCUGAGGGGCCUCCAUAGCAACAGGAGAAUUGGCAGCCAUACUUCACGUAAUCACAUGCUGAAGCCCAGCUAAUGGCAGAAACCACUGGAGUGAGGAACCAUACAAGCCUGGAUACGAGAGAACAAGUACUACACUGAACAGCAGAAUGAUGAUUGCUUGACCACAUGCUUAUCCACCUUCAGUCAAAUUCCAUCUAUGCAGGAAUUUGUAGAUUUGGCUCCCAAAUACCAAUAUCAUUUUUAUUUUUUUGCCAACUACAACUAUGACUGCAAUCACAAGCCUA